AAGUUGUCCACUAAUGAAACCAAAACAAAAAUCCCCAAGCCUUAAGGAAGGGCUGAAGCUACUUGGUAAAAUGGAAACAAUUGUCAGUAGCCAUGUGAGCAUUCAAUAAUGCAGAUUUCAGUUCAGAAACCUGCCAAAUUCCCAUUGACAUCUACCCAGUGAAGUCCUGAGUUAAAUCCAUGGAAAAGUGCUGAGCUGUGCCAAUCAAAUUGUGAUAGUCACAGUCUGUGCCUCAGACAUAAAAGCAGAUUCUUUGGUAAACAGCCUUUGCUGAAUUUCUGCUCUUCUGCACUAGAGGCAGCAAGUUUAAACAGCAGAUUCCUGCUGUGAAGCUGGGGGAUACAAAGUAAGCAAACUGUGUCACAGCUAGGAACAACACCACUGCCUUGGUUUUUAGGCCUGGUUUCCCUCGUGCUUUAGGAAAACUUGAAAAAAAAAUCAGAGCAUGAAUGCUAAAAAAAGCAAACACAGAAAUGAGGAAGAAAGCAACUAACAGGAAGAAGGGGAAGAUGAAAGAGAAUGUCAAGAUCAACAGAAACAGUGCUCUGCACAAGAGCAUCAGGGUACAAUUAAUAAAUUAUAUACAUGAAAUCAAAUCUUAGCUUUUCUGGGCUCUUGCUACUGUGAGCUGACUGCCAAGUAAAAUUUGAAAUGUUCUAAACUUGCAUGUUUAGAGAUGAAUUCAUUAAUAACAUGUCUUAGUGAACAGAGAAUAUACAGGAAUACAUCUUGUAUUCUCACAAUUGUACUCAUUCAUUUUAAGCAGAUGCCAACUUAUCAACUGUAUGGUUUCUACUUUCUAUUUCAAUUCUACUUUAAUGUUUAAAUAAUCAUAGUUACAUAACUACACACCUUUGCAAUUGAUUUCCUAGGAAUUUUUAGACCAGUAUGGAGCUCCAGGCAGGCAUGCUCUAUGUUAGCAGUGUCAGAGCUGUGCACUGAAGUGACAUUAGUUGCCUUUUGGUAAAACUAAUAAGAAAACAGAAUUGUUUCAUUCCAGCCUCAAAGCAGCAGCAUGAAUCACAGUAAUGGAUGCAACGUGGUAACACGGGGUAUAAUGACAGAAUUUUGUUGCUGUAAAAUAGCCCUUGGUGAUUUUAAACCCAGAAGAUCCAUUGCUACUCUGAGAUAGCUGAAGCACUUUUAUCACAUGAUAGAGGCUGUAUCAGAAAUGGCUUGCAGCAAACAAGUGGAGUUAGAGAACAGGCUUCCCAGAGGGCUCUGUGGGGCUGAUGUCCCCUCACUGCAGUCAACAAAAUCCUCCUGACUUCUGAAGUAGAAAAGUUCUUAAUCAAAGACUAAAAGCCUUUGAAAAUCCUUUGGUCUUGCUGUCCAAUUGUGUGUUUCAGCAGUAAAGUUUGUAUUAGCACAGAAAAUAGGCCAUUAUUAAAGCUAUGUGGGGCAGAGGUACAGCUAGCAAAGCAGCAGUUAACAAAGACAGUGAUGCUUUUUUUUAGAUCAGAGUUCUGAGGGAUUUGUUUUCUGUCCUCCAGGAAGAAGGCUUUGCAGCAUCAGGAAAACAAAGAUAUAAAGCAGUGUCAGAUGAUAAAUAUAAAGUGACUUGUGCUGGAGAUGACAAACCUGAUGUUAUAAACCCUGUCAGAGCUCACUUGCAACCAAGCAGAGAGAGACAUGAUCAACCAGAAUUCAGUACAUGUACAACUGAUCAAGUUCAAGGGCUGAAAUUUCAGUGCUACAAUAAAUUCCCAACUAUUUGGACUUGACUUUACAAUUCUGGAGAGAUCAGAUUAACUGGUAUGAGCACUAAAAGCUGAAUAGAUGCACAGCAAGAGUCCAAUAAAACUGCCACUUGUCUACAGUUCUCUGGAGUGAGCCACAGAAAUUCAGCAAAGCAGUUUCUGUUUGUAGAAAGCCAGGAGGAAUGGAGAAACAAUACAAGCUGACAGCUGAAAUAAUUUUUUUCAGGAUUAAAGCACAAGCAAAAAUAGCCAGAGGCUAAAGGACCUGCUACUGUAGAUACAAACAACAAAAUGAUUAGCACUCAAGCCACUGAUUUUUAUAUUC